rnacentral:lncRNA from 1 species
UGGAAAAGAUCAAUGUUUGUGCCCAGCCUCCUCCAGGCCAUUUCCUAUUCCAGUUGGAAUCCGUUGUGACCAGCUUCACAGUUACCUGCUCCUGUUGGGCGCCUUCUCACCGCGCGCUCGGGUGCAGUGAACUCUGGGAGCCGUCGCAGCCCAGGGAGUCCCCAAGGAAGGCCAGCUGGGGCCAUCCCUUAGCACGGCCUCCCCAGGCCUCCACUUCCCGAUCUGUGAAAUGGGACAGUAAGAGCUCCCCCGAGGCCAAGUCCUGCCGCCCUCCUGCCCUGCUGUGGACCCCAGUGCAACUGUGAGCAUCCGAGGUGGUGAAGGGGACCUCACAGCACACAGAGUGCACGGCGCUGCAGCCCAAGGAGACCUCAUCAGUGUGUCGGCUCUCAUUUUCGUUAUUUUUCCUAUUAUUUUCUCUAUCUUCUGAAGUCCUUAUGUAAGGAAUUAUGGUUUCCGGGGAGACCCAUUGUGAUAAAUGCCAGAAAACAAAAGCUUUUUUCCAGGGCGCUGAGGCCUGUGGAUCCUCCCAGGCCCUGGUCAUGCUCCUGUGCCCACAGAGUGGCCCUGUGUUUGCACUCUUUCUCUGGGGAUGCACAGGGGCGGUGAGAGGGAAGCAGGCGGCUGCUCUUGGCCAGUGGAACUGCCCGGCGUUGGGGUGCAGGCGAGACCCAGCGAGGCUCGAGGACUGCAGACUAUGCAGCAGAUCCUGGCAGGCUUUGGCUGUCUGACCCACUCGGAUGGGCGAGGAGAGAAAUGGGGGGACCAGUGGGACGUUCUGGGGUGCACGCAUGUAGGGGAAGCUGUUAGUGCAUUCUGAGCACCCGGUGCACAUAGGUUGACAAGCUCCGAGGCACACACACACGAGUGUGCACAGGCAGCCUCUGAGGGCUACGCCCACGGGGAUGGGAAGAUGGGGCUGGGAUAGGGAGGGCUGGGCCCCACCCUCUCAGGGACAUAGCCUGAAAACAGGGCAGUGCAGGACUCUGAUGCCUCACACAGUCCUCAGAGCAGCCCCGGUGUGAUGAUCCCCAUAGGCUCAUGCUCCCGUCGGCUGCCAGCCAUCUCUGCAUCCUGCCUUUGAGCCUCUGCACAGCCCUCAUCUGUGGGUGUCCAGAGCCUUCUGCAGAGGCCAGACUGCCACUCAGUGGUCCCCGCAUUUCUGUUGUCUACCAGGAGCACUGUCUGUAUUUUUAAGAGGUGGACAGAUAGCAGUGCAGACAGACGGAUGGGCGUAAGGACGGGCGCCCUGCCAGGAUGCUCCGCUGUCUCUCAGCCCCGGAGGCAAGUGCAGCUGGAGCUGAAUUUGCCUCCUGAGCACAUUUUUUUUUUUUUUUUUGGUGCUCAGAGUAGCCCUUGGGACUGCCCCAUGUCCCCAGCACACCUUCGGCUGAGCAGGGUGCCUGUACCCCUGAGGGAAUUUGCAGAUCAGCUCUCCCUGUCCACACGGGGCACAUAGAGCCCCAGCCAGGGUGGUUCUAGUUCUAGAAAGGAGUGCUGCCUUGAGCCUGUGACCGGGUGGUGGUGGUGAGCCUGAAUUUGGCUUUGGAAUUAGGCCCCUGAGUGUGGCCCUGCUGUGCUCGUACCCCUGAGUUUGCAGCCUGCAUGCCCCAAUUGGGGCCCGCCAGUGGCAAAGCAGUUCCCUUCCCACCUACUCAGGGGAUGUGCAGCCAUGGAGCCUGGGAGGAGGCACCACCACCACCCGUGAUCAGCUCCAACCUCAAACUUCAGGGAGACAUGGUUCCCCAAAUGGUUGCCCCUUCCAGGUUCUCCUCUUCCCGGCGCGUCAGUGGGGGUGUGGUUGUGCCCCAAGGCUCCAACAGGUGUUAGGGGGAGUGGAGGCAGCUGACAGAGCAGGGGCUGGCGUUAUCCUGUGGAAGAGGUCGGGGAAGUGGCCAUGUGUGUUAGAUCCGCAAGUGCUGCCGGUAGCUAUGAGGAGCUCCCUGAUCAGAAGAGCCCAGGUCUCGUCUCUGGAUUGAAGCCACUGGGGCUCUGUGGAGGCCACCAAGAGACCCUGCAUCCGUUCCGUGGACAAGCCACAAUAAGGGAGAUGUCACACAUCUCCAGACGUGCUGCCACACGCAGUGCAGCGGGCAACCUGCCCAUCAGGCUGCAGGGGACGGGGUGCCUCUGGGGACUGGCUCCCAGCAGCCCUGGAGGUCCUCUUGCACUGUUUAAUUCGUGUCUACACAGGGCCACGCUCACAUCAGCGUGCUCUAAUCCUUUAAGAACUGAGAUUGUCUCCAACUACAGCUGAGUUACAAGCUGCAUAAAUUAAAACUUCUCAUACA